GGCCAGGUAGCUCAGGUGGUAGAGCACGCGACUGAAAAUCGCGGUGUCGCUGGUUCAACUCCAGCCCUGGCCACCA
rnacentral:tRNA from 1 species